rnacentral:rRNA from 1 species
UUUAACUGAGCGUUCAGUUACUUGACGUAGACCCGAAACCGGGCGACCUACCCAUGAGCAGGAUGAAGCGAAAGUAAAAUUUCGUGGAGGUCCGAACCCACGAGCGUUGAAAAGCUCGGGGAUGACUUGUGGGUAGCGGUGAAAUUCCAAUCGAGCCCGGAGAUAGCUGGUUCUCCCCGAAAUAGCUUUAGGGCUAGCCUCAAGGUGAGAGAUACGGAGGUAGAGCACUGAAUGUCCUAGGGGGUAUUGCACCUACCGAAGACUAUCAAACUCCGAAUGCCGUCAUCUUAUACUUGGGAGUCAGACUGUGGGUGAUAAGAUUCAUAGUCGAAAGGGCAACAGCCCAGAUCGUCAGCUAAGGUCCCUAAAUGUAAGUUAAGUGGUAAAGGAUGUGGGAUUGCACAGACAACCAGGAUGUUGGCUUAGAAGCAGCCACUCAUUCAAAGAGUGCGUAAUAGCUCACUGGUCGAGUGAUCCUGCGCCGAAGAUUUCCGGGGCUAAAACUUACUACCGAAGCUACGGCAUCAGUAAUGAUGGGUAGGGGAGCUUCCCAUACGGGUUGAAGCAUGACCGUAAGGACAUGUGGACAGUAUGGGAGUGAGAAUGUUGGCAUGAGU